UGCCAUCCGCCGCGGUAAUACGGAGGGUGCAAGCGUUAUCCGGAUUUACUGGGUUUAAAGGAUGCGUAGGCGGAAAAUUAAGUCAGUGGUGAAAGCCCCGAGCUCAACUCGGGAAUUGCCAUUGAAACUGAUUUUCUUGAAUACGGUUGAGGUAAGCGGAAUACGACAUGUAGCGGUGAAAUGCUUAGAUAUGUCGUGGAACACCAACUGCGAAGGCAGCUUACUAAGCCGUUAUUGACGCUAAGGCAUGAAAGCGUGGGGAGCGAACAGGAUUAGAUA
rnacentral:rRNA from 1 species